rnacentral:rRNA from 1 species
CGCGUAGGCGGGCCUCCAAGUCCGGGGUGAAAUCCUCCAGCCUAACUGGAGAAGAGCCUCGGAGACUGGGGGCCUCGAGGGAGGUAGGGGCAAGCGGAACUAUGGGUGGAGCGGUGAAAUGCAUUGAUAUCCAUAGGAACUCCGGUGGCGAAGGCGGCUUGCUGGACCUCUUCUGACGCUGAGGCGCGAAAGCCAGGGGAGCAAACG